GAUGAACGCUAGCGGCAGGCUUAAUACAUGCAAGUCGAGGGGCAGCAUGGUGUAGCAAUACACUGAUGGCGACCGGCAAACGGGUGCGGAACACGUACACAACCUCCCUUCAAGCGGGGCAUAGCCCAGAGAAAUUUGGAUUAAUACCCCAUAGAAUAUUGGAAAGGCAUCUUUUUGAUAUUAAAGAUUUAUCAAUUGAAGAUGGGUGUGCGGCUGAUUAGGUAGUUGGCGGGGUAACGGCCCACCAAGCCUUCGAUCAGUAACUGGUGUGAGAGCACGACCAGUCACACGGGCACUGAGACACGGGCCCGACUCCUACGGGAGGCAGCAGUAAGGAAUAUUGGUCAAUGGACGAAAGUCUGAACCAGCCAUGCCGCGUGGAGGAUGAAGGUCCUCUGGAUUGUAAACUUCUUUUAUAUGGGACGAAAAAGGGGCUUUCUAGCUCAACUGACGGUACCAUAUGAAUAAGCACCGGCUAACUCCGUGCCAGCAGCCGCGGUAACAC
rnacentral:rRNA from 1 species